UACGGAGGGUGCGAGCGUUGUCCGGAAUCACUGGGCGUAAAGGGCGCGUAGGCGGCCUGAUAAGUAGGGGGUGAAAUCCUGCGGCUUAACCGCAGGGCUGCCUUCUAAACUGUCAGGCUCGAGCACAGUAGAGGCAGGUGGAAUUCUCGGUGUAGCGGUGAAAUGCGUAGAUAUCGAGAGGAACACCUGCGGCGAAGGCGGGUUGCUGGGCUGAUACUGACGCUGAGGCGCGAAAGCCAGGGGAGCGAACGGG
rnacentral:rRNA from 1 species